rnacentral:lncRNA from 1 species
UCCUCAGGUCUCUAGCAAAUUCUUUAGAUGAUGAUUUUCAUCUGGAGACCUGACCUGCAGAAGUGAUUAGUUCGAUUUCUUCACCACCCACAUCUGAAGGGGUGGCAAAGCAUUCAUGAUCCUGCGAGCACCAUAUGAGAAAGGUGGCACUGAAGCUAAUGCACUUCUCUUAACAGUAGGGGGGUUAAAGUACUCAUAUGAAUAUGCACAGAACUGGUUUGAGGAUUUAUGAACAUAAUGAUUUGAAGAGUAACGCUCAUAUUCAUAUUCCUUGUAGUUUCUCUGCAUGUUAGACGCAUUAGCAUGGGUACGAGCAUAGUUUUGACCAGUUGAGGAUUUUGAUCCUCUUGAAUACUUUGGUCCUCCUGAGGAUUUUGAUCUGGGGUUUAGAUUCUUCAUUGGUGGUGUCAUGAGGACAUUCACCUGAAGAUUUUCAAGACAACUUUUGGGAACCUAGAUUUUCCUCAAGGGAGGGCCAUUCGUGCAGUUAGUUCCAACAUAUCGAGCAAAUACUUCACCAGAUUGAAUUUUGAACAGUUUGUAGUUGGAGUCAAAUGACUCAUCUGAGGAAUAGGAUAAUUCACAUGAAAAACCAGUUAGAUUAGAUGGAUCAAAAGGAGGCCCAGUAGCAACAACCCAUGAGGUUUUGGGAUACUGCUCAGGUUUCCAGUAAGAUCCAUCAGCAUUUAAUUUCCUGUCAAAGGCAAUUCCUUCUUUCCUCGGGUUCCUGUUCAACAUCUGCUUUUUGAGCACAUCACAAAGGGUUUGAUGUCCUUUGAGGCUUUUGUAUAUGCCCGUCACAUACAAUUCCUUCGACUGCGUUACCCGUGAUUGAAACACAAGCUGGAGACGUAUCGGCCUAUAUCCCCACCAAUGUGAUCUCCAUUACAGAUGGACAAAUCUGUUUGGAAACAGAGCUCUUUUAUCACGGAAUUAGACCAGCUAUUAACGUUGGCUUAUCCGUCAGUCGUGUCGGGUCUGCCGCUCAGUUGAAAGCUAUGAAACAAGUCUGCGGUAGUUCAAAACUGGAAUUGGCACAAUAUCGCGAAGUGGCCGCCUUCGCUCAAUUUGGGUCAGACCUUGAUGCUGCGACUCAGGCAUUACUCAAUAGAGGUGCAAGGCUUACAGAAGUGCCCAAACAACCACAAUAUGAACCACUUCCAAUUGAAAAACAAAUUGUUGUGAUUUAUGCUGCUGUCAACGGCUUCUGUGAUCGAAUGCCACUAGACAGAAUUUCUCAAUAUGAAAAAGCCAUUCUAAGUACUAUUAAUCCAGAAUUACAAAAAUCCUUCUUAGAAAAAGGUGGCUUAACUAACGAAAGAAAGAUGGAACCAGAUGCUUCUUUAAAAGAAAGCACUUUGCCUUACCUGUGAAUUAAUCAAAAAGGUUGCCCCUUACUCGCAGAUGUAGGAAGAAGGCUUUUCUCGCCAACUGAACCCCAAUAGGCUAUUUUUGACUUUUUUCAAAUAAUUAUUACAGAUAGAUUUUUGUGCCAUGCGUAAACCAAGCUGCUGAGAGUCUACCCCAGCCACAAGGGGGAGCUGCUCCAGUAGUUCAGGAUACCCCACCCAGCCCCACAAGGGUUGACGGACCCCCUACCUAUACCUAUACCUGAUGAUUUUCAAUCCACAGCUCAUUUUCUUGAAUAUGUGACAAGCCUUGCAAAUUGUGAUAAUAUGUAUAAAAUUAGUGGUCCACAUAACCCAAUAUUAGAAAAUUAUGGAGGUGCAGGCCCAAGUACUUCGAAUCAUCAACAAGAAAUCCAAGAAAGAACAGCGAAGGAAAAACGUGACAAGAAAAGUGUUUUCUCGACUCGAGAUGUUAGAAGGUGCUAAAUCAAUAGGUGCCGGAGCUGCUACAAUUGCUUUAGCCGGAGCUGCUGUCGGUAUUGGAAACGUCCUCAGUUCUUUGAUUCAUUCCGUGGCGCGAAAUACAUCAUUGGCUAAACAAUCAUUUGGUUCUGCCAUUUUGGGCUUUGCUCUCACCGAAGCUAUUGCAUUGUUUGCCCCAAUGAUGGCCUUUCUGAUCUCAUUCGUUUUCCGAUCGCAUAAAAAGUCAUGAGAUCAAAAAAGGAAUGUGAGAAUGUAGUUACAGAUGUCAAAAAAGUCAAUAUCUCGUUCUCUUGUUCCAUAGAUGGGGCGUCCUAUCCGAUGGAUGAAUGAGGAGCCUCUGUCGAGUAGUGAAAUGAUAGGAUUUUGCUUUUCGGUUAAACCGAAACACAAGUCGGUGAUUCAAGCCAAGAGUGCGGGCACCUUAAGAGCGGUCAAAGCUAGAAGCUAUAUCAUGACUGCUGGAACGAAAGACCCGAUGAGUAUUUUCGUACCACCUUCCAAUCUUCUUAGUCAAUUGUGUACUUUUCCACUAGGCGAAACAUAAGUUAUCGGAAUCCGGGGCCUGUUUUUCCCUAUUUCCCAAGGGGAAUGUCAAAUUGUGUGGUUUCAAAGUCUUAUGAGACAGAAAGUUUUGGAAAAUGGAGCUGCCGUUUUCACUACUUUGGUCCCUAGCGAUAUUGUUGCUUAAACUAACAUGGAAAGUGGGUUCAAUCACUUUAAAGUGCCCUCUCAAGUGUCAUCUCAUAAUGGUAAUCUCCUUAUGGUAUAGUAAUUUGGCUUAGAAUAAGAAACCUAUCUCUUCCCCCUAAUGUCUUUUGAACGGAUUCCUCAAGAGGAAGGUAGGGCCAUAUCUAUCCAAGAAGAAAGACCAGGUAAACAAUUAUGCUACUUGACCAAUGGAUAAAGUAUAGAUCUCAUGGCUGGCUACUAUUCAACCCUGGCAUUGGGGAUCAGGAACGGGGUAAAGUACGGACUUUGGCUAAGGAUGGGGAUCCGGUUGUGCCGUGCCGGCCCCGGGAAUCGGCGAACUACGCUACACAGUCAGAUACCUAAGCGAACGGAUAAGGGAAAGCCCGCUAUAUUAUAUAUAGUAAUCACCUGCCAAAAGGAAAGCCUGACCGAUAAUAAUAAUAGGUCUAUGUGCCGAACAAGCAACGGUAUAUUAGAGAUAGUAAGGAGUUGUAUACACGGGGGUAUGCAUUCAUGUCACGCUUUCUGUGUGAUAAGAGGUUGCUAGCUAGCAAGUAUAGAAACAUGAGAUAUGCGUAGUUAACAGAAGCAAGGGAAUAUGCGUGAGUUGAUUUGAGAGUUUUUUUUUUUGAGUUGCCACCGAAAAAGAAAUUUCAUCUCAAGGGAAAAUGCAUUGCAUUUUCAAGGGAUUGCCAAGCUAGGCUAGGGAUCGUCCGCGGGUAUCAGGAAUAUCGUAUUUAUCUCUUCUAAUCUAGAUCCCACUUCCCUCCACUUCUUGCCUCACGCCCGUCCUGACUCCACAUUAACGACUGUCCUUCCACCCAAUUCCCCGCACCCUUGCAUCACAUCUCCAACCCCUGCCUCCAUGCAAUCUUCCACAAUCGUACCCCCCACCUCUGAAGCUUGCCCCCGACGAACCUGUCUGCACCUGCGGGCCCGCGCUUACAUCAUUGGCAUCGCAUGAUUAAACAUCAGCACGCGCACUUCCCUCCGUUUUCGAUGCCGACAGGGGGCUGCUAGGGGGUGUAAAGUUUCGUUUCGGUCAUGUCAGACGACAUGCAGGGGGGCAAUGGCUGCCAACGGAAUCUAUAAUAAUUCGAUACUAGGUCAACUGUACCAUCGGACUUGUAAGAACAUGUAAAAUGUACCACACGAGGUUGUACCAGCUGUGUGCAGUCCUCCGGCACGGGUUAAGUGUCCUGCAUAGAUCUUCCCCUCUCUCCCAAAGAAGAGAUGUUCGCUUCAUAGCCUUCUCUUCCGAGAUAAACCCUACAAAGGAUCCUAAUCGUGCUAGCCUUUCAUGGACUCUUCUUCGAUUUCCUUUCAGCUGCGCCCAACACCUCUCUAGUUUCUCUACGAGAUGGAGAUGGCUCAUUCUCUAGUUUUCCUACGAGAUAUAAGUAAGUUUCUAUCGUACUUUGAAGUUCAGGAAGGAGUUAUUAAUUAAGACGAAGAAUAGAAAGAAUCCAAGCCAAUAUACACUACACUAUCACUAUAGAGUUUUCGCCUACCUAUGAAAAGUGAGAUGAGAGCUUUGUGCUAAUAAUUUAUUAUAAAGGUGUACCUAUCGACCCCAGGUAAUUAAUGCCCUAUCCUUCUCCUUAAAAAACGUUACGUUAGACUUGACCAACUGUUAAUACCAAUCCGGCAGCAAUAACUACUACUAAUGCAUAUUCAUAUCCCACUAGUAGACUUAGCAGACUGUGACCUAGCCAGUCUAUUUGUUGACAACAGACCAGUACUAUCCAUCAAUGCCACAAAGACCAUAGACGACCUCUAUUUCAUGGAAGAACUCCUUCUCAUAUGAUGCAAGGCAAUAAGACCAACUGCCCGCCCUACCUAGUGAGAAGAAAGCUUAUAAAUAUAAGCAUAAACGAAUACCUAGCCGAGCCCUAUACUUACCUGCUUGUACGGUCAAUGCCCUAGUAGACAUCAACUUGUUCAUAAAGUCCAGCCUUAUCUACGCUGCUUUACCCGACCCAGGUGACCUACUUUCUCAGAUGAGAGAUUCGGCGGAGUAGUAGGAAGUCCCUGUGGAGAACUAGAAGACAAAACGAAUAUAGCGGACCAAGCAAUGAAUGACCUAGCCUAGGUAGUCCUAUUGAGUUCCUACCUUGUCGAAAUCAUUCAAUCAUAGUGGUUUGUGUUGCAAAAAGCUAUCUUUGUUAUCAAGAAACAAAGCUGUCUCUAGUGAUUGAUCCGUUUGCUCUCGCCCUUCGGCUUUGUGGUCACUCAAGGUCCUUGGAUUUCGUGCUCAAUCUAGUUGGAGCUGUGGAUAGAAGUUUUGAAAAACCGUUCUUAUCUGGGAAGAGAGCCUUUGGAAACCCACUGCUGAAGCCGAAUAGGCAGUGAAAGCUGGAAUGAUGGGUGGCAAUCCUGCAGUAUGGCUUUAGUGCGUAGAUUCUCAGGCAGGCUAGGCUAUUUGGUGCGCUCUUCCUUUUUUUGGAUAGAAAGAAGGGUUCAGUGGGAGGGCAAGGGGUAGUUAAGUUUUAGGUUGGCUCUUGUUUUUUACAGACUUUCUUUUCGGUGUAAUUUAAUAAAGAAGUAGCAAUUGUUCAUUUCAUUUCAUUUUUUUGCAUUGGUAGUUCUUUUUCAUUUGAAAGGGCAAAGGGGGGAAGGGAAAGGAUUGACCCUCAGGGAUCAUAUUACUCAAGAAGACUGGGGGAAAAUAGCAGGAUUGGAAAAGCUCGAAGAGACUGAGGAAGACAAAUCCAUUGUCGAAUCCUGCAGAGUGAUAACAUCGAGUAGUGGGGGCUGGCUUCCACCCCUGAGAGAGCUUGAUUUACCAGAAAUCCCGCCGAGUCCUAGUGGGCCUAGAUUCCGCGAUAAGUUCCGAGAAAUGGAGGAAAUGAUGCAUUCAAAGUUCGCAGAAUUGCAAGAAAGACAAAAUCCUUGAAAGAAAAACCAAACAAGACCAGAUGUUCCCUAUUGUUAUUGGGAACGAGACUAAAUGUUCGGCCUUAAUGAGAUGGACCUUGAUUCCUCUCCGGCCAGGAAAAGAUGCGGCUCCUCUUUGUUCUACUACCUUCAUCCUCGGGUGAAGCCGGUUGGCUCACCAAACAAGAUAUAUACUGUGAAAUCAUUGGUAACCAUGCCUAACGGUCGGUCAUCUAAGCUAUCGGCCAAGGCAAGUGAGAGCUGUUCAAGAGUUGGGGGCAUAUCUUUAGCUCGAGCAGCAUCCGCUCCCGAAAUGUGAGUUAAGCUUUAAAAAAAGAAGAAGAGCUACGAGUGGAACAACUUCUUCUAUUCCUUGUUGGCCUCCAGCUCCUUCUGUCCCUCAAUCCUCUUCUCUGCCCUUUUUUUACUAUUAUGCGUGGCAUGCCCCCUGUUCGUAUCUUAACAGGGCAACCUUCUCUUGCAAACAAUCCCUUCGUCGCUAACACCGGUAAUGCCCCAUCCCUUUAAUACUACCUUCGAGGAAUUUCUCUCGCGUCCCUGUAGUGAUAAGAGCGCAUUCUCUAACAGCUUUGAAGCCGAGGCAGCCAUCCUCUUGCCAAUCCUAAACAAAAGAAAGAAAAGCCCUACCCGCCUUCAUUGGUUGAGUAAGGGGCAUUUACCUAUCAGUCCUAGUCCUAAGGCGCAAUCGGAGCACUAAGCCCAAUUACAGCUUGACUCCGUAAAUUAGACCUCAUUCUCCUAGUCCUAUUCCUGAUUGUUAUUUCGGAUUCUGUGCCUGGGUGGUAUCUUCUUACUAUUGAUUCAACCUCUUCGGGCAAACGUUGUCACUUCCUUUAUUUGAAAAAAGGGGUCUAGAACUACAGUGAUCUGAUACCUUCUUCCCUUGGUCUGGGUAGGUAGGUUAUGUAGGCUACAACUGUUCAUAGGUUGUUCGAUCGCAAAAGGCCAAAUAAUCGAUUACUAGUAUGCCGGAUAUUGCCAGGAGGCCCUUCCCCCUAUGUUUGACUCAUCCUAGAUGGGUUCACACCUGUUGAUUCCGGUCAAAGAAAAAAGCUUUUUCACGGCAUCCGUCCCAUCACACCAAUCUACGCCAAGAUAAAGAAUGCUGGGUUGCCAGGAACAAACCCUGUGAUUCAAGGUCUUGCCUAGAAUUGCCCUAAGAAAAAUGCACCCCAUUAAUUGAUCCCUCUUUAGGGUAGUAUAAGUACAUCCUCGACUAUAGCACGAGUAGAGUCGAGUUCUCGUACUAACCUAAGAGCAGAUAUGCCGAAAUAUUUCCACGUUCAAGAAGCUAAUCAGUAAACGACUUCUCCGUAACAGUUUGAAGAUUGGCUUGCAACGCAAGUAGCGGCAAGAAAGGAGAGCAAGACUUCCUUUUCUAAAAGAAGAAAGAACUAGACUUCUAUAAGAAGAUUUUUAUAAUCGUAGAUCGUGGAAUAUUCAUCUAUCUUAUUAGGUAACUACUUUAGCUGCUCUCGAAACUGAACCAUCGUGAAUAGAACUAGCGCUUAAGGAAGAGUAGGAUCUGUUAGCAAGUCAUAUUCAAUCACCUGGUCUUCUCCUUCCUAGCUUUUAGAUUUUAUGAUUCUCUCUUGGAUUUUCAUACACUUAGCCGUGUACGUAUCUUGGCUAAACUCGAACCUAUAGUUGAUCCAUCCAUACUCGGUAAAGAAUCAAAAAGGUACUUGAAGACGACUUUGAAUGGGAGGAGGUUUUCUUUUUAUCCCCCCUAACCUUAUUUUUAUGUCUUCUUCGUUCUCAGUCCCUACGGUCCAUUGUAGGAUGAUUUUCCUAAGGCCUUGAAUUCGUUGGCAAGGUGAUCAGGGUCCUCUCCCUGGUCCUAUCGAACCAGUAACUUCUCUCCUGGGAUUGAAUAUGUUUUGCCUUUCCCCGAUGGUUCCGCAUUCCUAUGUGGGUAGGAUUCGCCAGGGAUGAGCGGCUUAUUUAGCCUAUGCGAAGCGCGAAACAUAAGAGAAGAGUGUAGCGAAGCGAGUGUAAUACUUGUAGUGAAUAUAAGUAGUGUCAAAGCCUACACUGGCUUAGCUUUGCAGAUGUUUUCAGGACGAAGACGGUGAUACGAUACCACUCGCCAGUGAUGAUAAGAUUCACUCAUAGCAUAGGUGGAAGAUCCAUCCAAUUUUAUUUAUAGAUUUAUUUGUUCAAAGAAAAGACGCCUAAAAAUCAUUCAGGGAACCUACUCUUGGUAUCCUUUACCACAUUCACUUUCCAUAUUCCCUUUCUUUAGUUCAGACGCUAUCGUACCUCAGGGAAAAUCCAAAUUUCUAUCAACGAUUCCCACCCAACUCUGGAAUGACUCUCCCCUCUCUCCCUUAACAUAUCGAAGGCCUCUUAUCCGUCAACCGCACCUUAAUAGCUCAGACUUCCGAGCCUUGCUGGAUGAUGCAGAAGGGCCAACAUCAGAGGAUCAAUUGAAUAACCAACUCUCCCGCCCCGCUGCCGCUACUGCUCGAAAGCCUUUGGAUCCCCUACAGGAGUGUCAUGAGCCCCUACAAGGAGUCAAAAUAAAGCCGAAACCAGAUACAGGAAGUGUUGACCCGGAUCAAUGGAGUGCGAGCCCUUUUAUCUUGAGCUGAUUCUCCUUAUUUUAGAGUUGUGGCGAAGGUAAAUUGAGCUCUGGCCUGUGGGGAAGGAAAAGGCUCUGACGAAGCUCCAGGGAUUACAGGAAGGUUUAGGCCUUGUGAGCAGCUCCAAACGGUCAGACGAUUGACGUAGCAAGUUCAUUAACCUUCAGACGAUUGAGUUCCUACCUUGGGCUCUUCCCGCGCCCUUUCAGGGUUCUUGGUUAUCACUUGGCUAUUCGCUCCAUUCCUCUUCAAUCCAUCAGGAUUUGAGUGGCAGAAAAUAGUAGAUGACUCGGAUGACUUCUUUUCUUUCUUCUGAAGUGAGUGUGCUUCUUUACUAGGCAUAACAUGAUAAUUCCUCUAUGGCGUGUGCUCCUUUCCUAUGUAAUGACUUUCCUCCUUUUUCAUGCCUCGUGCGCGUGCAUAAGCUACGAGUUCCCUGGCCCACCCUAGUUCAUCGAAUAGUGAGACUGUUCAUUUCUUUUUUUUAAUGAGUUUACCGAAUUGACAACUCUUCUUUUUUUUACUUUAUAGAGAGAUAAUUUUUCAGCAUUUACAAUUCAUAUUACGCAAUAAAAUAAGAAGAGACAGCUACAUGAGUAGGCGAGCAUUCAUUUGAGCUGCCUUAGUUCUUCACAAGAAGCAAGCCCCUAAGAUAAUAAGUUGUAGUGGGUGUCCUCUUUCCAGAUGCGAAAGGCUUCUUUCUCUCUACUCUUUAUAGUGGAGAUGCUAAAAACAAAUGAUUGAAACCUGCUUGCCCUUCUGAUUUAUUCCUUGCUGGCACUACGCUGACCGAGGGAGGGUUCUGAUGAAUAUUGGUCAUCACGCGUGGACUUCUCUUCAGGCCUCGUUUUCCGCGACUUCCUUAGCCUGACCAGAAACGCAAGACCUGUGAUACGAAAGACACGCCAUUCUCCAGACUAGAGAUCCGAGUUUCGAUACCGAGUAGAAAGACUGCAAAGAAAGAGUUAUCACUUCCCGCUACCAAUCUUAUUCCCACUUCUGCUUAUUGCUUAUUGUCGAGUAAACACUUCUGUUUACCAAAUCUAACUUUCCGAUGGCAACUACUUGCUUCCAACAAUACCCGAGCUUCCUUCUCCUAACCCGGAUUCCGAUACCAAUCGUAUCAAUCUGGAAAUCAGUAUUCUAUCUUUCGGGCAGGCGCGGAGUUCAUCCCACUAUACUAGGUUCGCGAGCCCUGUCCGAUUGGACGAGAAAUCUUCUUUUUUCAUAGUUUCUUUCGAAACAGCCCGUUUUUCACCAUUCUUCCGGACUCUACAAAAUACAGAAUGGCACCUGAAGAAAGCCCGCGUUCCCACUCUUCCUUCCCCCUACCUACCCAUAAGGUAGGUAGGGGCCUUGGUUUCCUAUGAGAAACCUACACCAGUGAAUUUAUUUUUCGUAGGUGAUCCCGCUCCCAAUCGCAGAUUUGAAUAAUCAAGUCGGUAUGGGGCUGCUCCCUUUUGUUACUCCGAAAAUAUUGGCUUCGCCUGGACAUAUCUUCGAGGACCUGGGCGAUUUUGACCCGUUUCUCGGCGCUCGCCGUUUCAAGGUGAAGAUCCUCGUAAGUCGAGCGUAAUGUGCUCUCCUUAGGAACCCUAUUUCGACAGGACCUUAGAACUGUUUUAAUUCUGUUCCUUAAGAAAGAAAUGGAUGGUACUUCAGGUUGCGCCCCAUUUUUGGGCGGCUCUGACCGAAACCCAUCUUUGCCAUUGGCGUCUUGACGUCCCACUUUUUUUUCGUGGAUCAUCAUCUCCUUUGUUUGGCGGAGCGGAAGCACUCGACGAGGCCUCUACGACAGCAUGGGCUCUUCCCCGUUUCUGGCCGGAUGAUUCCAUAAAGAAAAUACUACAAAAAGUCAAGCAUAACAAGAAGCAAAAGAUAUCGUGGUGUAAGUCAAUGAUUCCAUUCAUUUUCAUAAUAUUAUGCUUCCUUCCCCGUGUGGAACAUGUGUGAGCAUUAUGUUUUUCCAACAAGUGAUCCGACUGGAAGAAGUGUUAUAUGAGGACUUCGAGAUCAAAUAGAGAAUCUGUCUCUCCAUUUCUCGUGAGCCACUUAUUUCAGAAAAAUCAGAGAUCAGAGUGAUUUUCCUCCUUUUUCCCAAAUAGUCGACGGUCUUACACCAUUGGGAUACUUCGGAUAAACUGGAGUACAUAUAUGAGAGACCGGUGCUUAAACGUUUUCUCGAGAUAUCUUCCAGAUUCUUAGGGUCCUUGCUCCGGAUCUCGCCCCNNNNNNNNNNNNNNNNNNNNNNNNNNNNNNNNNNNNNNNNNNNNNNNNNNNNNNNNNNNNNNNNNNNNNNNNNNNNNNNNNNNNNNNNNNNNNNNNNNNNNNNNNNNNNNNNNNNNNNNNNNNNNNNNNNNNNNNNNNNNNNNNNNNUCCCCCCCCCGGCGCGAAAGCAGUUGGUUCCGUAGUUUGAGAAUUCUACUAAUUCCAAGUAUUCCAUUAUUAUUAUUAAAUAAGAGAAUAUAAAAAGUAAAGAGGAGAAGACAUAACCAAAAGAAUUGUGAGAAAUAAGUCAAUUUAUCAAGUUGAGGCAUUUUGAUUUGGAUUUCAAAUAAUCAAGAAAAAAAAGACUCCGAACCGUACUUUUGCUAUUUUACGUCCCUCUAUACAAAAAGAGAUUUACUUUCCAAAAUGGAAUCUUUGCCAUUUCUGAUGUGAAUGAGGGAGGUUGUCUGCCCGGGUAGGGGUGACCGGGCCCUCCCAAGUCAUCGCUCAAGAAAGCACCACAGUCACACGAGAAAGAGUUUGGACUAUGACGAAGACGAGCAAGCCUUUGUCGGGGAGUGAUCGGGGAAGAGUCGAGUACAAGAGGAAGGUGGAAGGAAGAAAGCGCCAGAAGCGCCAGGUGCGAAGAUAGACCAUCAAAGAACUCCACAGCAGAGCAAAAAAGAGAAAGGCAAGGCUCGCAAAGAACAAAGGCUCAACCAUCAGAUCCAACACAAAGCCCUCAAGAUAUUUAGAGGCUUGGACUACUCUCUCUAGUAAAAGAAAGGAAGCACAAUGGGUAUUGCUCUAUUUCUUACUAGUGAGGUAUUCUUCUUCAUUUCAGUAUUAUGGGCAUUCUUCCAUUCUAGUCUGGCACCAACAGUCAAACUAGGAGCUCAACGGCCACCUGUUACUACGAACUUGUUUUCAUCUGGCAGAUAAGCUUUUGAGAAGAGACCACUUUGAUAACGAGCUUUCGGGUUGCCGUAUUGAUACCGCCCUUCGGGGGAACAGGAGAAUAGCAUGCACGGGAGAAGGAUUUAGGGAAAGGUACCCACCUUUUAACGGGAGAAAGGCAGCUUAUGUGAAAACUUCCCUUGUGGUUUACAGUUCAAAUAGAUCAGGUGCCUAUGUUGUUGAUACACCGAAAGAUACUAACGCUAUGCUCCAAUGCGGGAUGAGGGCCAACGGUUGUGAUGAGUGGGGACCUUAGAGCUUAAAACCUACAUACAGUGACCCUUAUGGGCAGCGCCCUGGGCUGGCUAUGUACGAGACAUCAAACCGUCUCCCGGGUCCAAAGUUUCCAUUUCCAGGCCUGAUAGUCUUCAACUGAAAAAAGUACCGCGGAGAACUAGUAAGAAUUGUGCCUGCCAUUCAAUUCGUGACGUGGAUGAUCCGCCGACGGAAUCGAUUAGGUGAAACGGCUCUGCAAAGUUUGUUUGUUCAUAAAGGCUGCAUGCAGCCAUGCAAUUCGUACUGCAUGGCGAUAUUACUCUACCACUCUAUAAAUGGUAUAUAGAUAUCUUCACUUCAUCACAAAGAAAUUGAGUACUAGCACGCAUUGCUAUGGAUGCUGCAACCGCAAACAGGCUUUCUGCAAUUGCUACCAAAACGGAGCAACUGAAAAAUGAGAUUGAAGGGCACCGUAGAGUGCUAAACAACCAGUUGAGAAGUGUUAGAACAAUGGAUCCUGCAAAGAAAGAAGCGCGCAUUCGCGCUACCAGAGAGCGCAUAGAGGGUUUGGAGGAGAGGCAGGAAGCGCUGCGGGUGGAGCAGCAAGUGCUCUUUAUUCGUCUAGCAUCUCGCUAGAAUAGAAGAGUCCGUAGACUCUUUUUAGUUUUCUAAGGUUGGUUUAAAUUCAAUAAGUG